CUUCCGGCUCAAAAUGUUAUGACUCAUGUAUAUUUAAUAAAAUGAUACCGGGGAGUUGUUUAUCUGAUGAUGUCGAAAAUCUGCUUAAAGGGGCUUUACUCCGUAUGAUGAAAUAGCGGAAAAAAAAGAGAAAAUUUUCGAAAACUGACAUAAACUUGGCAUCGAUGUGUACAAUGCAUUGAAACUUACUAACUGAAGAACCCGGUCUCCGACACAGUUUUUUUUUACAUUUUGGUACUUUUUUUUACAAUUAUGAUAAAGCGUAACACAGUCCAUUAGAUAAUUGUCCUGAGAUUCGUUACAGAAGAAAACUUUUUUGGUGCGAAUCUGGUGUACAGUCCCUUUAAGGGUUCAUUGUACUUUGCGCUCAUUAUAAAUAGAUAAAUGAAGGGUCUUCGCAUUGAUACAAAAAGCUUAGUUCCUUCAUUCACAGCAACAUAUAAUUGAUUAACGCAAGAUUAGCAGCAUCAGUAGAAGUUAUAUGAUAGUUAGUAGAAGGAAUAGUAGUAGCUGUUGUUGUAGAAGUGGCAACAACAACAAUUCAGCAGGAGCGGCAGUAGUUUUAGGGGUAUCAUCAUCAUCAUCAUCAUCAUUAUCAUCAUCAUCAUCAUCAUCAUCAUCAUCAUCAUCAUCGGUGGUGGUGGUGGUUGUGGUGGUGCUGACGGUGGUGUUGUGGCGGUGGUGUUGACAUUGGUAAUAGCAGAAGCAGUAGUGGUAGUAUCAACAACAAUAGCUGCAGCAUUACCACCUGUAUUACUAAGACUUAAGAGCACACAUAUUAAAUGACCAACAUAGUUGGUUCUGUUCGGUGGGGUUAAAUACCUAUUUAAAGUAACGAUCGUUCUGAGUCAUGUUAUUAUUUGGGGUGGGGUGGGUCAAUAUUUUACAAAAAAGGAGUCACUCAAGGACAGCGACCAUUGUUGUGAGUUUAUGUCGGUCAAAACAUGUUCUUUCACAGGUCACGGUAUGAAGACAAUGCCAGAUGAACACAAAACUAAGCAAUUUUUUAGAUUGAAACAUUGCAAAAACAAAUCCCAAUCAGUUAUACGAAAAUGCAUUUUAACCGCCUCAUGUGAUCAUGAUAAUAUGAACAAAAUUGAAGUAUUCAGUUUCGCCAAUGUGAUAUAUUUCAAGUUUCGUUUGUAUUUCCCAUUUUCCAUGGUGUAUACGUAUACUUACGAACUCAAUAUUUUUUACAGUGAAAAAACAACAACAAAGCUUUAAAAAUGAACAAUAAGAGUGUGUGUUUUUGUUAAAAAAUGUGAACCCAAUAAAUCUGACAUUUUAAAAUCAAUAUCCAUACGCUUAGUAAAGCAUACCCUUAAAUAUAAUUCGACCUACGAGACGGCCAGAUUCAUAUAUAAUGUAAUAUAGGUUACAUUUUCAUUCCAAAUAAAACGGUUGGUUAAGCAUACCAUUUUCAUUAACUUCUGUCAUAUGUCUAAAACGAUAAUGUUACUCAUUAAAAACAUCAUAUUUUUGUUUAAGAAUAAGUAAAUAAUAAGUUUUACUAAAUUAAGUACUCUGUAAUUUUAAUUGAUUGUAGUUAACACUUGAUACUUCUUCACGUCUUUCUGGGCAAAAUUAAAUACAUUCUUCCAAAUCUUGACCCAAACUACAGCAACUCCCUAGAUAUGAAAACAUGAUUAAACACAUGGUCAGAUUCUCGGUCAAUUAGGGGUUAAUGUGUAGCUGAAAUUGGCUCUUGUGUAGAAAUGAAAAGUGGAAAAAUUGGCUUGUAUUUCUUGGCAUGAUUGAUGUUUCAAUGAGUAUUACUGUACGAUUAUUGCUUCAUACAGUCUAUAUUUAAAGUGUGAUACAAGUUUCAAAGUUAAUUGGCGGAUCGUUUUACAAACAUGUCAUGUCUGUGUUUUCUUAAUCUCUGCAUUGCCCUUGUUGUUUCUUUAAUCCUCCAUUGAAUAUAUCACACAUCCUUUUCACCAGGCAAUAAAUCAUUUAGGAUGGGUAGUAACCAACUAACUUAUCAGUGAUGUAUACGGUUAGGUAAUCUAGCCAGGCAUUGUAACGAUAAAGAUCAAUAAUUUUUGUCUGUGAGACUUAGUAACUGUAAAAGUUCAGUCGAUGUCCUUUGGGUGUCCGAAAAUUAGGUACCUAAAAUAAAUUAUUUUUGAAAAUAAUAAUGGAUGUCCGAAUUUAUAGAAUGUCCGAACUCUUAAGGGGAAUUACGUUUGUGCUUGUGUGGCAGGUAUGUUUCAAUUCUUGAACUAUAUUUUCUUGUCAGAUACAAAUGUGUCAGAUACUGACUUUCGGAUUGAUAUGUCAGACUUAAGUGUGCAAUUUUGGCAAUAAAACCUGCAUGUUACUUGUUCUUCAAACCUGAACCCCCAGGUCCUCUUGACAGCAUUGAGGUUUCCUUGGCUGAUGGCUUAUAUGGUAAAUUUGCUGUCCCACUCUUCAUGUAAUUAUGUUUCAGGGAGGUUAGUAUUCUACAGAGGGUGAUUGAAAGCAAACGGGUGCAUAAAGAAAAGUAAAACCGUUCCUGGAAAGUCUCAAAUAAUAGCAGAGUGGUGUACCAUAACUUAGUUGAAAUCCAACCAUCAUUGUCAAAAGUAUUUAACCAGACAAAUAAAGAAUGUUUCCUUUGAAGAAUGUAACAUGUUUAAAAACUACUUAUAAACCUGAAAAUUGAUGACUUUUAUUUUUGUUACUUUCUGAGUCAACAGUUACUGAAAUCAAUAAUAUAUCAAAAAAAAAUAAUAAAAAAUAAAUAAAAAAAUUCCGACCUACCCACCCUAUUUUUUUAGCAGUGUUACCUGAAACACACCUAUUUUUAUUUGGCCUUAUGGUAUUAAUUUCCAAUAACAAGAUACAAAAUUAAACAUAUCGGCACAUUUUUAAUACAAUAAGCAUAUAAAAAGCGCAUAAUCUUAUUCGGCAAACUCACUACAUUUUACAAUACUUCUAUGCAAUUUAAUAAAAAGAAAUUCUAAAGUUAUAUGGUCUAUAUAUUUAAAAAAAUAUUGGCUUAAGGUCACAAUUCCUCUCAAUGGUAGAACAUCUAUGAAUUAAAAAAUUAUUACAUUUAAUAUUCAGCCUGCUUAUAAUAUUUCCUUCGCAACAUAAAAAAAUAGCUAGUGGGAAUGUUUCUAUUUGUCAUAGUUUCAGAGUUUAUUGGCAAAUCGCACUACACUAUUAGGAAUAAAGAAGGAAUACAACUACUAGAUUUAACUUUGUUUAUGUUGUUAUUUUUAUGUUUUAUACUUACAGUUAACUUAUUUUGUAAAUUCAAAUGGUAUUAAAUUAAUUCCUCAUGAUUAUAGGAGUCAACGGUUAAGAUAUGACCAUUCGAUUUCUUAACGGUUACGAAUUGACUAACACAAUGGUUACGAAAUGACCAACAAUGAGCGGUUACGAAAUGAUCAUAAUUCAUUUGACAGGGCUUUUACCAUCUGUUUGUCUGUGCAGAGCGGGAAUUUUACCUGGGAUUGGCUGGACCGAAAAUCAAAGUCCCCGCUAUUAGCAGGACCUUGGACGCCCAUGCUGCAAUUGACUGUUGCAUUAUUUGGAUUUUUUCUUAACUUUACGACACGCCCCCCUACAGUAUUUUAUAGUCAAGUUUAGUAAUAUUUUUUACAGAAAUUGGAUAACUUAACAAGUAAAGUAAACUGUACUGAGCUUUUAAACAAACCUACAUACUUAUAAAUCAAAAUUUAUAUUUUAGGGUCUACACUGAAUAAACCCAAAAUGUUAGUUUUGAUUUGCUAAAUUCGAACAGUAUUUAGUCAAUCCACACAAAAUUUACAGGAUCAUCAGAUAACAAAUUUUCUAAAACUUCUCUGUUUGCCAAAUAGGGAAGACAGGUUUAAGUGGGGUUAAAAGGUUGCUAUCUGUGACCAAAAAAAUACUGUUCAAAAUUGUGAGUAUUCAUUUAUCUUUCGUUCAGUAAAGAGCAUGCAAUGGCAUAGUGGUUAGAUUAGAUAAUCUGACAGCGGUGCUGGACGUCAGGAGUUCAAAUAUUGUUGUGAGUUCAAUGUACCAAAAGAAUACCUUUGGAAUACACUACCGGGUAUUAUCUAUAAAAAUGGCAGAGCAAAUUGCCCAUAUUGUAGUAAUGUCUUAGAUCCAGCUUGGAUAACUUGGACACAGUAAGCGGUUCACACCCAGGGAAAUUCUCAGAUAAAACAGCGCCUAUAAACUUGAACAUUACAUUUUUCAUUGAGACAAUUAAAGAAAAAAACAUUAUUGCUGAUCUUCUGAAAACAAAUCUUCUAACAUUCAAAUAUUUAAUUUGUUGGAUGAACUAAGGUUUAUAUUGAUAAGAGAUUGCUUCAGUUGGAUUUAAACUAAUCACCAACAAAAAUAUAUGCAUUUAAAUCACACAAUGUAAACAACUGCGCCACAGAUCUUAUCUGUAUGUUUUGGGUUUUUAAAAUUUAGCAGUUAAAUAUAGAUUAGCAUACUGGUAGGUCUGGUUGGUCUGUUGCUUUAGUUGCUAAGUAAACAUAAUGUCAGUGAUUUCAUCACUAUUUCUAUUAAAAUAUCAGUUUUCUUCUUCAGGGCUUCUCACAUUUGCACCAUUUUUUUUACCAUUUGAAUCAUAAAAAGAUAACAAACACAAGAACUUACCACUUUGUGAAUAUUUAAGGAAUGUAAGGGGUCAGAUUUCAGAUUGCUCAUUAUUUCUGGAACACUAAAUACUUUAUUUGAUUGUGUACACUGCACUUUCUUGUUAAGCAUUCAUCCAAAUCAUUUGGGUAAAUUUUGGCGGAAAAACUGCUUUUGGAUUUAUACUGGUCAUCAAAACCGGCACUGACAAAACAUAAGACGUGUUUAAUUAAUGUGCGGGAAAGAGGUUUAAAGGUGUCGGCCCACAACGAAAGGCUUGCGGGUUGCAGUACCCCUUUAAGUAGUUCUUGAAAAAAUUUAUUCUCUGAGGUAGCAUUUGAUUAUGUGUACAUUGUAUUCUUGUAUGUAUUUUCAAUUUAACACAUGAUUUAUAUAAGGUUUGUAUAAUUUUAGUUUUAUUUAAGUUUUAAAAUUUGAUUUUUUUUAAGAUUUGCCUGCCCCUGUUUGAACACUUAAAUUCUUGGUCUUUGGACUAUUGUCUGCAACUUCAAAACACACUUUUUGGAACAGGACACAUUUUCCUGAUAUUUUAUCCAGUUUGACUGCAAUACAAGUUGUAUUUAUCAAUAAUUUAAGUACAAAAUGACAUUUAUAUUUCCAUAAUUACCUGGUAGUCAUUUUCGUCACCAGACACUCUGCCAUGAAUGUGAGAGAGUUUAAAGCUAUUUCUUAUUUUCCUGUGUAACUAUAUUGAUGUUUGAUUAAAUUUACAACGUCGUGUUACUGAGUAACAAUUUGAAAUUGGGCCAAAAUCAUCAAGCUAGAGCUUUGCAUAAUCUUUUCAAACUUCUGGGAGAUUUCUGCCCUUGAAAGUAUUUGCUCGCAGCCCGCCUCAAAGUUACACUUCGUUCAGUAUUUAAAGCUUUCGGAUACACUUUUUUGUUAAUUUGAGAUCUUAAUGACGCUACAUUGUACUUCUAAGUAAAUAGAUGCUCAAAGUAACAAGAUGCUCUGGGUGUUCACUGGGUGACAAAGGCUACCCAGUAUUGGUUGUUUCUUUUUUCUGAAAAGAUGUUUCUAGUGAAUUGCCAAGUUGCAGUGGUUUUGACGCCACAGAACCAGCACAGCUCCAUGACAGAUAUAUAUGUUUUCGUCAUUGAUGUCAGUACUGCUGUAUUGGUGGCCUCACAAUUUCUGUGUGGAAAUGUCAUCUGAUACACUCAUAACGGCGUAUUUCUAACAUAGCUUUCAUAAGUGCAUGGCCAUUCUCUGUCAUUUUCCGAUACACUGUGUUGUGUGUGGAUAAGAAAUGCAGAGUGGUACCACCAAUCACCUAAGCCACCAUUCCCCUAACAGACAAAAGGCUCAUGGGGACAGUUCCUGCAGUUUACAGCAAAUUGUAGCCCUACAAACUUCAGAUACUGCCAAGCUUGGGUGCACUGGGCCGGUUAUCCAGCCGUGUGGAAUCAACAUCUCCAGCUUAACUUGGGCCGGGAAUUAUAUAAGAAUCCUUAGCAGCAUGAGUGCCAGCCAGUCAUUGCUGUUCUUUGCAUUGCUGAGGAGGACAGUCCUGCCAACAUAACAGUUUGUUCAAUAACAGGAGACAAACAGAAACACAGAGGUGCUAUACAUUCCGAUGGAAAAGACAACAAAAGCAUCUCCCAUCAUUUUGGCGUGGCUCAGAUCAAGAGGAGAAUUUUAAGAAAGGUGAUGGUUGGGCACACACAAGAAGACAUAGAUCACAUGUGUCCAGGCAUAUGAGUAGACAGGAGUUUCACACUCUGCCAAACUUACUUCAUCAGAGGAGCAGAAAGCUUCUCAAGAUCCCGCACUGCACACUUAGAUAUAGUCUUUGACUACAACAAGGGGAUGAAAGUACAGAGAGGUCCAAUUAAAAUCAAUUCUGUGCUGCGUCAUUUCUUCAUUCUGGAAGUCGAUGGACAUGAUUUAUCAUGGCAUCAUGUGUGCAGUUUGUCGACUAUCAGCAGUCUUGUUCACCAGUUCUGCAACUUGAGCUGGUAGCUUUAUUGCUUGAAGCCACAGCAUAAGAGGGGGAAGGUGCAGGCUCAUCAAAAAGUCUCAAAAGUUGAAACUAGGAAAAGAAGUUUGUCAAGAGUGUGAAUCUAUUUGCUUUGAAAACCAUCGUUACGAUGAUUUGGUUUCCUUUGAAACUUGAUACAUACUAUGUGUAUGUUGAAUGAAUUGAGAUGCUUAAAUAAAGAACCGCUAUUCAAAUAUCAGGAAACUGCAUUUUUCAUACUAAAGGGUAAAUGAUGUCGCCAUUUCCUGUAUGUAUUUAAAUGAGAUAUGUUUCCACAAUUUAUAUUUUUAGGGAAUUUUUCUCAUCCUAAUGAAUGAGAUUGAAUUGUACAGCGUUAUAUGAGCUUAAUAUGUGUUUUCUGUUUCUUUAAAAUUGGUGAAAAAUUGUCAUGAGAUAAUUAGACCAGUAUCCAUUACUGCAAUCAUACAAUCAAAUAUACAGGGACAAACCCACUGGGCAUAAAAUAUAAUUAAACCCUGUUUAGGGGCACGAGGCAAACAGAGUUACUUUCAAACGUUAAAGCUGCACUCUCACAUUUUGGACGUUUUGACAACUUUUCUCAUUUUAUGUCUUGGAUUGGAACCAUCCAAUUUUUGCGAAAAAUUAAAUGGCAGAUUUUUCUAUUUAAGUUAAAACAUUGAUGUUUUAUGCACUUUUCUUAAACCGUUAGUAACAUUAAUUUUCGAACGGAAAUAUGAAAUCUGUGAUCUGAUCUUUUGUCAGCAAUCUUUUAUCAUUGGUUUGCAGAUAAUUACGCAAAAAAUUGCUCAUUCAAAAACAAAAAAAGUUGUGAAAACGGUAUAUCUGUGGGAGUGCAGCUCUAAAUGUUUAAUUUCUUGAUUUUACUACUGUAUUAGAACUUACAGGGGUUGGGGCAUAUUUUUAGUGUUUUUAUUGCUUUUUAUGAUUCAUACAGUCAUACUUUAUUCCUCAGGGCAUAACUUACAAAUAGACAAAACUGGAAAAUGGUCGUUUCAAAAGGUCAAAGAUAAUGCAAGUUGAACAAUCAUAUUGUUCAUGGGUUGUAUUUUUGGUAUAUUUUGUUGCAUAUGCUAUAGAAAAGUUGAAAGUUAAAAAUAAAUUCAUAGUUGAAAUGAUGGCUUUGAAUGGUAUUGUCAGAUGAGAAACGGCACUUUUAAGAAAUAGGUAUAAUGGUACUUUAUUUAUUUUGAUCAAUUUUAGAUAUUGUAUGAAAAUUAUUAUCUUAUUUAGUACAUGAGACCUUUAAAACAAUUACUGACAAUAUAACAAUGUGUAUAUGAAGCUUUAGAUCAACACUUCAAGCUGCACUCUUACAGAUUGUCAGUUAAGACACAAAAUUGUCUCAAAAUCUGCUGAUUUGGUUAUCAUUCCUUUAAAUUCAGUCAUAUUAGAUAAUUCACAAUAGAACCCAUCAGAAAUGUAAAAGUGCCGAAAAUUUCAUUUACAUUAAAUUGUUCGUAAUGCUUUUAGCCAUAACACAUCAUUUUUUUUUAACAUAAAUAUGAUAAACUGCUAUCUGAUCUUUUUUCAGCAGUCUUAUAUUACUUAAAAUUGGGUCUAGACAUUUAUGCAAAAAAAAUUGUCCAUUUAUAGACAAACAAUAAAAGAGUACCGGUAGUCAAAACGAUCAAUCGGUGAGAUUGCAGCUUUAAAUACACCUUUUAAGACCGCUGUAAAAUUCCAAUGGUUUGCCUAAAUCUUUAAGGCUAGCAUACUGUUUAAUUAACAACCAUACUUAUUGUUUAAAAGUGUCAUGAUAUCUUUGUACAAUGUUUU